UACGUAGGGGGCAAGCGUUGUCCGGAAUCAUUGGGCGUAAAGAGCGUGUAGGCGGCUCGAUAAGUCUGCUGUGAAAGUCCAGGGCUCAACCCUGGAAGGCCGGUGGAAACUGUCGGGCUAGAGUCCGGAAGAGGCGAGUGGAAUUCCCGGUGUAGCGGUAGAAAUGCGCAGAUAGUCGGGAGGAACACCAAUGGCGAAGGCAGCUCGCUGGGACGUUACUGACGCUGAGACGCGAAAGCGUGGGGAGCAAACAGG
rnacentral:rRNA from 1 species